ACAAACAAGAAGGGAUAAGCAGCUGGCAAGACCAAAUUAAGUUCAUCAUGCAUGAAAUAAAUAUACACCACCCCAAAAUGAACGCAAAUUCCUUUGCUAGUUGUUACUUCUGCCAUGUCUAGUACUGGAUGCUUCACAGAUGCAUACUUCCUUCUCAGUUGAGAUUUUUCUUCGAUUAAUGUAUCAAUAAUCAUCUGUUCUUUAUCGAUCAGUUUGUGAAAGAUCUUCCCGAUCUGUAGUUGAUACUUGAUAGCUAGACUGUUAGAUGUUGGGUGUGUGCAUUGUAGCGCUAGUUGCUAUAGGGAUUACACACUGGGUUUAUAGGUGGAGAAAUCCCAGAUGCAAUGGCAAACUUCCACCAGGUUCGAUGGGUUGGCCCCUCAUAGGCGAGACCUUACAGUACCUGGCUCCCAACUCCUCCUUUGAUGUUCCACCUUUCAUCAAGACAAGGAGGGAAAGGUAUGGGCCAAUAUUCAAGAGUCAAUUGAUGGGAGCACCAUUCAUAGUGUCCACAGACCCUGAACUCAAUAUGUAUGUGUUCCAACAAGAUGAUAAAUUGUUUCAAAGUGGGUAUCCAGAUUCUGUGCAAAAGAUAUUUGGCAAACAACAAAUGGGAAACGUGCAUGUGUUAGUAUACAAGUACCUGAAGAGGAUGACGCUAAACCUCAUUGGCCCCGAAAGCCUUAAAAAGGGGCUACCUGAAAUUGAACAAGCAAUACACACAAGUAUGCAACAAUGGUCAUUUCAAGACACUACAGAUGUUAAAGAAGCAGCUGCAGAUAUGAUAUUUUCCCUCUCUGCAAAGAGACUCAUGAGUUAUGAUUCCAGUAACUCCUCAGAUAACCUAAGUGCAAACUUCAGUGCCUUCGCUGAUGGACUGAUUGCCAUCCCUUUGAAUAUCCCCGGAACAGCUUUUCACAAAUGUUUACAGGGUAGGGACAGGGUAUUGAGCAGGCUAAAAGACAUGCUGAAGGAAAGACGAGCAACAUCUCGAAAGCAACCUAUUGAUUUUAUCGAUUAUGUCCUUGAAGAACUUGAUAAAGAAGGAACAGUCUUAACAGAGGAAAUUUGUUUUGAUUUGAUGUUUAUGCUGCUCUAUACAAGUUUUGAAACAACUUCCACAGCAAUGACACUGCUCCUCAAGUUUGUUUCGGACCAUCCUCUGGUGCUAAAGCAAUUAACGGAAGAACAUGAGAAGAUUAUAAAACAAAGGGAAAAUGCAAAUUCAGGACUUACCACGGGAAGAAUACAAAUCAAUGAAAUUUACAUUGCAGUUGAUUCAAUGAACGGUUAGACUGGCAAGUCAAGUGCCAGGCAUCUUUCGCAAGGCAAUAAAAGAGGUACAGUUCAAGGGAUAUACGAUCCCAGAAGGUUGGUCAGUUCUGGUUUGUUUCCAACCCCAGCACUUAAACCCAGAAAAGUAUGAAGAUCCUCUGGCCUUCAACCCAUGGAGAUGGGAGGGAAUGGAAACAACUAGUGUAUCACAAAAUUUCAUGGCUUUUGGUGGUGGCAUGAGAUUCUGUGUUGGAACAGACUUAUAUUUGAGAAACUUUGCUAAGAUGCAGAUGGCUGUAUUUUUGCAUUGCUUGGUGACCAAGUACAGGUGGCAAGCAGUGAGGGGUGGCAAUAUAGUCCGAACUCCAGGUUUACAAUUCCCAGAUGGUUUCCACAUUCGAGUACAGGAGAAACAAGAUGCAAGUAACAAGAAACAGCAAACAACUCCAGAUACUUGA